rnacentral:rRNA from 1 species
AGCAGCCGCGGUAAUUCCAGCUCCAAUAGCGUAUAUUAAAGUUGUUGCAGUUAAAAAGCUCGUAGUUGAAUUUCGGGGUUCUAUCGUUGGUCGGGCUAUCCAGUCUGUACUAGCGUGUAGAAUUCUUACCUUCUGGGGAACCAUCAUGUUAUUAAUUUAGCGUGGUGGGAAACCAGGACCUUCACCUUGAAAAAAUUAGAGUGUUCAAAGCAGGCUUACGUCUGAAUACACUAGCACGGAAUAAUAGAAUAGGACGGUGGUCCUGUUUUGUUGGUUUCUGAAUCACCGUAAUGAUUAAUAGGGAUAGUUGGGGGCAUUAGUAUUCAAUUGUCAGAGGUGAAAUUCUUGGAUUUAUUGAAGACUAGCUUCUGCGAAAGCAUUUGCCAAGGAUGUUUUC